rnacentral:tRNA from 1 species
GCAUCUGAAUCUGAACUUGUAAUUGUUCACCAAGCUCCUGCGUGUAGGCGAGGUGGUCGGAGGGAAGGUCCCUCUUCUCCUGAACGUGCGGGCGCCUACGGAGGCUCUGGAACAUGUUUUUCCCGUGGGUUCGAACACUGACCCGUGAUCCCCCCAGGAGGCCCUUGUCUUGUGGGCUCGCGGGCAAGCCCAGCCCCCACCCAGGGUCCCACUGGCUGCAGCACCUGGGUGUUCAAUCCGGAACCUGCGCUCGGAUGGGCGUCACGCUUCCCGCAUCUCGCAGUCCCUGGGCCAGCCCUGCCCCCAGCACGGGUUGUGCGGCCUUUGGGGUCUGGCCGCCCCCAGCAGGGCACCGAGGGAAGCAUGCCCUGGACAGCAGCCCCAGGCCUGCUGCAGGUCGAGUGUGAGACCAGCGCCGCCGGAGGCCAGGGGCUGAGGUUUUUUCUUGUGUCUUUUCUUUUCAUUUUUUUUUAGAAAAGGGAAACAAGCUCUUUCGAGGGUGCCGCCACUCCAGCCCCGGGCCACUCUGCCGCCCUGGCUCACAUCUGGUCACUUGCUGGGGCACCUGCAGGGCCGUGGGGCGGGAAGGCGCAGGGAGUCCUGCUGCCUGGCGUCUCCUCGUGUGCGGCGGGUCGCCGAGGCCAGAGGUCGCAGGAGGGCAAUGGCUGCUCUUACUUACGCAGGCCUCAGGCUGCUGGGCCCUCUUCCCUUGGAGAGCAAAUGGGACAGUCUCUAAGAAGGGGAGGGCUUCCUGGCCUGGAAAGGGUUGGGGACGGGCUAGAGCUGCCCACACAGGCAGCCGGGGCAUUCCCUGGAGACCUGACUUUGGCCCUCCUGGGACUUGGGGGGCCAGGCUGGGGCAGAGGGCUCAGCCUGGGUCCUUCUGGACACGCCUGCUCCGCGACCGAGGAAAAUCCCAGAGGCCUGCCCAGCUCUGCUCGUUCUUUCAGAGCCGAUGCUCGGCCUGGGGGAAGCGAGGCUCACCCCCCUUUUGGGAGCUGGACACCUGCUGCCUCUGAUGGCCCUUGGCUGACGUGGGUCCUUGCUUCUAGGACAGAAAGGCUGGGGGGUUACCAAGGCACAGGUCUACCCAGGGCACAGCUGCAGAUGUGAUCUUGAAGGGCGGGCUUGUCCCCAAGAGUCUGGGUGGAGUGUAGGAAGCACAGCUCUACCAGAAGGACCACAGCAGUCUCUUCUGACCCCAACCUUCAGGAUUUCACACGGAACAGGGCCUGUGGCCAAGGCCGCCUUACAGGAGGUGGGCCAGCAGCCCGGGCGCCCCCACUUGAGGAUUUUCAAGGGGAAAGAAGCCCGGCCCUCUCGAGGUAGGAAACCAACACUUCAAAUUUCCUGCCACACUGAGACCCAGGAAAACUGCCACUCGGCCCAGAAGGGAGGUGGCCUCUCAGUGCCCCAGCCUCAACUCCCACAGACUCUGCUGGGUGCACAGCUCCAGGGUGUGGGGGCCCAGCCCCAGGACCUCUGCACCCCCACACCUGGCCCAGAGCCAGCAUGGAGCAGUUCUCAGAAAAGUGGGGGAUGGAUGGACAGAUGGAUGACGGGUGAACAGACAGAUGCCUGGUGAGAGGCCCCAGGGAGAGGAGCCGCUGGCUCUGCCGCCAGGGCUGAGCAGGCCAGCGGGGGCGGCCCUGCAGCUGUACUUACAGGGAUGUCUGCUGGAACAAGAGCCUGGAAGGCUUUUCAUUGACAUGGUAGAGAGGAAAUGGAUCAAAUCCACCAAUGAAAUCAACUGAAAGAAACCGAGACCCAAAUAAAACAAAGCCCGACGGUGGACAGGAUGGCAGAGGGGAGGGCAGAGCUUCCCGCGUGCCCUUCCCUCAGGCGGUGAUGGAGGUGGGAGGAGCCGCGGGGAGGAGGGCAGCCCGGACCUGGGGGCAGAGGGCGAGUUCCCACGGGGCAAGUGCUUCAAAGGACGGUGGUGCUCUCGGCAGCAGAUUGACACGGAUGCUCGGAGCCUGGGCGGCUCCACCGCGCCCUGCAAGGCUCUCGCAAGGACAGUGCCCUGAAGCUGCGUCCGCACAGUGCACGGCAGGCCGGGGCUCGCUGAGCAGAGCUCAUGCAUUUCUGAACCCCAAGGCUGGCUCCCUUCUUAAAACUUCCUUUUUUCUUUUUCUCUUUUUUCUGUGCCCACAGUAUGCAGAAGUUCCCUGGCCAGGGAUCGAGCCUGUGUCACAGCAGUGACAACACUGAAGCCUUAACCCUCAGUGCCACCAGGGAGCUCCUCUGAAACGUUCUGACGGGACGAAUGCAAGAGGCCCCUUCUCUUUCUUCCCAGCCAGCGGUGGGCUGAGCAAUGGUUUGAGGUCCCAUGGGGGCUGGUCCAGGAGUGGGUGGCCUCUAAAGGACACGUGGACCCCCUACUCUGUGCCCCCUGACCUCUGGGAAAGAGGCUCUGAAUUCCGAUUCAGAUCCCAGGGAAGGUUCUGCCUGAAGGAACCAUGAGCCCCC